rnacentral:rRNA from 1 species
UACGUAGGGGGCAAGCGUUGUCCGGAUUUAUUGGGCGUAAAGAGCGUGUAGGCGGCCAAGCAGGUCCGCUGUGAAAACUCGAGGCUCAACCUCGAGACGUCGGUGGAAACCGUUUGGCUAGAGUCCGGAAGAGGAGAGUGGAAUUCCCGGUGUAGCGGUGAAAUGCGCAGAUAUCGGGAAGAACACCCGUGGCGAAGGCGGCUCUCUGGGACGGUACUGACGCUGAGACGCGAAAGCGUGGGGAGCCGAACGAGG